rnacentral:lncRNA from 1 species
GAAGCAUAAUUGAAACUAAACUUUCAACAAUACAACUAUUGCAUUUAUAAUUAUAUUUCCUUACCACAUCACUCAAUAAUACAUAAAAUACAUGCUUAUACAUAUACAAAAAUACAUUUUUUUUACAUACAUAAAUACAUGUGAAAUACUUUGCUUCUAAGUUUACCUCAAAGUACAACAAUAAAUGGAAUUGACAAUUAUGUUUCUUAUACACUUCAUCUUAACCAAAACUACACACAACUCUGUUAUACAAAAUCACACUCAAUGCCUUUCAAACACUCUUAUUCUUCUUCUUCUUUCUUUCUUCUUUGAUCGUGGCUGCCAAGAAACAACAAGAGGCAUCUGCCUCUUCUUUUGGUUCUUUUCCUUACUCAUUACCUGUUAAUCAAAACAAACCCUAAAUAUCCGACCCUUCAUCAGUUGCUAUCUAAACAAUCAAAGAAGAAGAAGAAAAUUUGUUGUACUUCCUUGUGCAAUACCUGUCGAUUGAAACAACAAAAAUCACCCCACAAAAUGUACUUUUCUUUUCGGUGAAAUCAAAGAGGUAGCAACCUCUUUGCUGCUGAUCGGAGCAAGCCAAAUACUCCCUGAAGUCAUCACAGUUGCUGCUAGUUUCUCCCUCCCCUUUUGCUUUUGCUGUCGGACCAAAGAAGGGACAACCAAGAGUCGUCGGAGCAGCAUCGCUGCCACAAACUGCCGACAACGGCUUUGCUGCCACCCCUCUCUAUCUGCUUCCUUCGAUCAGCCAAGCACCGGUGGUGUUCCUGCUGUUCAACCACUGAACAGUCACCUCGACACCUGCUCCACCGCCGCCAGUCGUUGCUGCCGUUGCCCUUUCGUUUUCCUUCUAUCGCCGAUGAAAAAGAACCAUGAGGAGGUUCGCCGGAGAUGGGCUACUCCUCCUCCUUGAUCGACAGAUGAACCACCGAGCCACCCUCCCUCGAUCGCUGUUUCGAUUUUUUCUUCCCUUCGCACGACGGAUGAACCACCGGAGGCGAACAUUGUGUCGUUUGUGUUUCCUCCUUGUAUCCGUUCUUUCCUUGCCCGAUCUAAUGGAAACGGGGGCACCAAAAUUAAACCCUGAUCCCUUUUAUUAGUUUGAUGGAUUUGGAAGAACUUACCCUCCAAAUGUAUCUUUUAAUCCCAAACGAACCCAUUUUUAUAGAUAGAUAAAAAAAUGUUUAAUGUUGGUUAAUUUAAGUUACUAAACAACCAUCCACUUGUUGAGUUAUUAGCAAAACAGUCCUCCUAGCCUUGUGAUUUAUUUGAAACAGCCCUACACUUGUCAAGUAAUACCAAAACUGCCCUUUUGUUAAUUAAGUGACAAAUAUAGUUUCGGUGGUUUGUGUUAAACUCAAAAAGUGUCAAGAGGCGGUUUCUCACGACAAACUUCACGAACCGAGACUAGAUCAAGAUCACGCAUCGAAUGUGAGUUUCUACGGCCCCUCUUUUACGGUUUUAAUAUUUGGGGGAGAAUACAUGAGUGUCUAUUUAAAGUUUGAUGAUUUUCAAGUCUUAUACAUAAAAAGACAUCAUACUUUAUUAUUGGUUAAGAGUUCAUGAAAAUAACAAUCUAAAAGGUAUAAAGCAUUAAUAAAUUAUAUAAGUUAUUGUAGAAUGCUAUAAAUGAUAAAAUUAUACCUUGUUGUGAUAUAUUAGUUAAUAUUAAUAAAAAUCACAGGAUUAUAAUUAGAUUGAUAUAAAGAUAUAAGUUAUUCGAUGAAUCCCAAAUUGUAAUAUUCGUCGUAUAUAUGUGCACGAAAAUAUUGAGAAAGCAUAAAAAUACAUUAUACUCAUAACAAAAUCUGUUAUUCAAAAUAAGUGUGUACAAAGGAAAUAUACAUUGUCUUAAACGGCUAUAAACAAAGAUUUGACAAAUAUAUUUAAUAAUUAAUUGAAGGUAUACCAAAAUUCAGUUAUUAUGAUUAUACUCCGAUCAUAACGUGGAAACGAUUGCUAAAUAAAUUAUAUAAUUUAUUUUUAUAAUUAUUAUAAAAAUAAAAAUAAUUUUAGUUGUGAUACGAACCUCGCCACAUAUGAUAAUAUAAUUAUUUCUCUGAUUCUUGGGGAUUAUUACCUAAUAAAUUAUAUAUCAUAUCAAUUAUGCAAUUUAUCGAAUAUUUGCAUAAAUGAGUAUUCGGCUACGCGAACGAACAUCCUCCUUAUCGGCUGAAGUAAAGAACUAUACAAAUUAUUACCGCCACAAUAGUCGAACGCUACGUUAAUUUCACUAUUUAACUAAUUUCACUAAGCUUCAAAAGUCUUAAUACUCUAAGAUUCGCGUUAGUGACCCUAGUGAACGACGAAUUUUAUGAGUUGAAGAAUCGUCAUCAUGGAUUUCGUGGAUUGUGUAUCCCAUGUGUGUUUGUAUCGAAAGGGGUGAAAGAGAGAGUGUUAUGAUGGUGUAUUUUUCCUUUGUAAGGAUCAAAUCCUAGAAUCGACACCUAGCUCUAUAACCGUUAAUCCUGGAGGAAUCAUAUACUGUAGGUCUAUGUACACGGCAUAGAUUUAUAAUAAAGAACUUUGGUGUAGAUCUAUUUCUUAUGGAAAGAUUUAUGCGAAUGGUUAUUUUCCGUCUGUGGUUGCUAGCUACAACUUCGUCUGACGAGGCAACAGGCGUCAAGUGUUUCUUUCUUCGUUACUAUACGACUGCUUUUAAACGUUAGUAAU